UGGGGAAUUUUGGACAAUGGGCGAAAGCCUGAUCCAGCAAUGCCGCGUGUGUGAAGAAGGCCUUCGGGUUGUAAAGCACUUUUGUCCGGAAAGAAAUCCUUGGCUCUAAUACAGUCGGGGGAUGACGGUACCGGAAGAAUAAGCACCGGCUAACUACGUGCCAGCAGCCGCGGUAAUACGUAGGGUGCAAGCGUUAAUCGGAAUUACUGGGCGUAAAGCGUGCGCAGGCGGUUUGCUAAGACCGAUGUGAAAUCCCGGGCUCAACCUGGGAACUGCAUUGGUGACUGGCAGGCUAGAGUAUGGCAGAGGGGGGUAGAAUUCCACGUGUGAGCAGUGAAAUGCGUAGAGAUGUGGAGGAAUACCGAUGGCGAAGGCAGCCCCUGGGCCAAUACUGACGCUCAUGCACGAAAGCGU
rnacentral:rRNA from 1 species